AUGGCCUGGGCCCCUCUCCUCCUCGCGGUGCUUGCCCACAGCUCAGGUUCCCUGGUCCAGGCAGCGGUGACUCAGCCGGCCUCGGUGUCAGCGAAGCUGGGACAAACCGUCCAGAUCACCUGCUCUGGGAGCAGCUACAGCUAUGGCUGGUACCAGCAGAAGGUUCCUGGCGGUGCCCUUGUCACUGUCAUCUAUGAGAACAGCAAGAGACCCUCGGAUAUCCCUUCGCGAUUCUCCGGCUCCACGUCCAGCUCCACGGCCACGUUAACCAUCACUGGCGUCCAAGCUGAGGACGAGGCUGUCUAUUUCUGUGCUGUCUCCGACGGCAGCAGCGGUACUGAUCCCACAGUGACACGGAGCAAUAGGGAAGUGAUACAAAAACCUCCCACCAUCGCAGGAGCCAGUUAG